CCACGGGGGCAGCAGUGGGGAAUAUUGGACAAUGGGCGAAAGCCUGAUCCAGCCAUGCCGCGUGUGUGAAGAAGGCCUUCGGGUUGUAAAGCACUUUCAGUGGGGAAGAAAGCCUUGGGGCUAAUACCCUCGAGGAAGGACAUCACCCACAGAAGAAGCACCGGCUAACUCCGUGCCAGCAGCCGCGGUAAUACGGAGGGUGCGAGCGUUAAUCGGAAUUACUGGGCGUAAAGCGCGCGUAGGCGGUCUGAUAAGCCGGUUGUGAAAGCCCCGGGCUCAACCUGGGAACGGCAUCCGGAACUGUCAGGCUAGAGUGCAGGAGAGGAAGGUAGAAUUCCCGGUGUAGCGGUGAAAUGCGUAGAGAUCGGGAGGAAUACCAGUGGCGAAGGCGGCCUUCUGGACUGACACUGACGCUGAGGUGCGAAAGCGUGGGUAGCAAACAGGAUUAGAUACCCCGGUAGUC
rnacentral:rRNA from 1 species